AAGCAACAUAGGCUCAUCUGUCACUUCCUCUGUUGGGAGUUUCUCCCAGCAGCCUCAGCAGCUAGAAUACAUAGUAGAGCUUGGCUGUCUGCUGCCACUGCUGCAAUCACAUGAGGUCUUAAUAAACAAGGCAGUGGGGGAGGGGGAUGGAUUCCUGGAACCUGCAAAAGGCAAAGAAAUACAUCUGAGAAAUAUUUUUAACUUUCUAAUAUGGCGGCAGAGAUGGCAAGCACCCUCUGAGUUUGGUAGUUGCCCAGCAUCCUUUUUUUUUUUUUUUUUUCAGCAGGGAGGUAUUCCAUCUCUGCAAGGAUGUGAUAUGUGCUGUCUGAGGACACCACUCUUGUCAUUGCCAUUGGCCCCAGAAACCAGAGGGGAAGGUGUCGGAGCAACCUUACGCCACUGGGUUAACGUGUACAGUUGCUGAAUAAUGGCAGGCACUGUGAAUGACUGCCAUGAGAGCCCACAGUGGCCCUGCAGCCUGCUGCUACCAGUGGGUGGUGGCGUUAUGGGCAUUAGCUUUGAGAAGCUUAUGUAGCAGAGGGGCUAGGAUAAAGGACACAAAUCAGGGGAAACCUGACAAGAUUAAAAAAAAAAAAAAA
rnacentral:lncRNA from 1 species